rnacentral:rRNA from 1 species
UACAGAGGCCCCAAGGCGUUACUGAGAAUCACUGGGUUUAAAGGGUGCGUAGGUGGCGCGUUAAGUUCGUUGUGAAAUCCCUGGGCUCAACCCAGGAAUUGCUUCGAAUACUGGCGUGCUUGAGGCUAGUAGGGGUCACUGGAACUGACGGUGGAGCGGUGAAAUGCGUAGAUAUCGUCAGGAACGCCGAUGGUGAAGACAGGUGACUGGGCUAGUUCUGACACUGAGGCACGAAAGCGUGGGGAGCGAACGGGA